rnacentral:rRNA from 1 species
GCGCACGCUGGCGGCAGGCCUAACCCAUGCAAGUCGAACGAACCUUUCGGGGUUAGUGGCGGACGGGUGAGUAACACGUGGGAACGUGCCUUUAGGUUCGGAAUAACUCAGGGAAACUUGUGCUAAUACCGAAUGUGCCCUUCGGGGGAAAGAUUUAUCGCCUUUAGAGCGGCCCGCGUCUGAUUAGCUAGUUGGUUGAGGUAAUGGCUCACCAAGGCGACGAUCAGUAGCUGGUCUGAGAGGAUGAUCAGCCACAUUGGGACUGAGACACGGCCCAAACUCCUACGGGAGGCAGCAGUGGGGAAUCUUGCGCAAUGGGCGAAAGCCUGACGCAGCCAUGCCGCGUGAAUGAUGAAGGUCUUAGGAUUGUAAAAUUCUUUCACCGGGGACGAUAAUGACGGUACCCGGAGAAGAAGCCCCGGCUAACUUCGUG